ensembl:lincRNA
AUGAGAGUAUUUUGUAUAAACUGUAAAGUGACUGUAGGAGCUUGUAGUUCUCAUGAGUAUCACUGCUCCUUUUUUCCACAGUUCACAGACUAUCAUCAGUGGAACAGUGCUGGUGUUGGUACUGGAGCAACCGACACCAAAAAGAAGAAAAUAAAUAAUGGCACUAACCCUGAGACAACCACUUCUGGGGGUUGCCAUUCACCUGAGGAUAAACAACAGAACCGAGCUCAGCUGAAAGAGGAAAAGAAGGCAAGCCACCAACAUCGGCAAGCCUUAAGGAGGCAGCUAGAGGCCCAGGAUCAUACCAUACGAAUCCUUAAGUGUCAGAAAACUGAACUGGAAACAGCGNNNNNNNNNNNNNNNNNNNNCUCAACCUCUCUCAUUCCAGAAGAUUCCAAGGAUCUGGCAGGCCGCCUGCAUCAUUCCUGGCACUUUGCAGGAGAGUUACAGCGGGCUCUCUCUGCUAUGUCCGCAGAGCACGAGAGGGCGGACAGGUACAUCAAGGAGUUAACAAAGGAGAGGGAAGCCCUGAGUCUGGAGCUGCACAGGAACAUCAUAACCCAUGAGGAGCUGAAGGAGAAAAAUGCCGAACUACAAGAAAAACUUCGACUGGUAGAAACUGAAAAGUCUGAGAUGCAGCUCCACAUCAAGGAGCUAAAAAGGAAACUGGAGACGGACAAAAUCCUGCUGCCACAGGUUCAAACCAACACUUUGCAGGAGAAGAUGUGGAGGCAGGAGGAGAAGCUACGGGAUCAGGAGAAGCUACGGAAGCACGAGGAGAAGAUGUGGAGACAGGAGCAGAGGCUGCGGGACCAGGAGAAGGAGCUGCGGGAGCAGGAGCAGCGGAUGCGAAAGCAGGAGCAGCAGAUGCGAAAGCAGGAGGAGCAGAUGCGAAAGCAGGAGCAGCAGAUGCGAAAGCAGGAGGAGCAGAUGCGAAAGCAGGAGCAGCAGAUGCGAAAGCAGGAGGAGCAGAUGGGGGGAGCAGGAGGAGCAGAUGCGGAAGCAGGAGAAGCAGAUGCUGAAGCAGAGAAGCAGAUGACUGAAGCAUAAGGAGCAGAUGGGGAAGCAGGAGGAGCAAAUGGCGGAGCAGGAGGAACAGAUGCAGAAGCAGGAGGAGCAG